rnacentral:rRNA from 1 species
AUUGAACGCUGGCGGCAGGCCUAACACAUGCAAGUCGAGCGAGCGGUGGACGGGUGAGUAAUGUAUGGGGACUGCCCGAUAGAGGUGGAUAAAUACUGGAAACGGUGGCUAAUACCGCAUAUUGUCGGAUAACCCAUAUGGGAUUAGCUAGUAGGUAAGGUAAUGGCUUACCUAGGCAACGAUCCCUAGCUGGUCUGAGAGGAUGAUCAGCCACACUGGGACUGAGACACGGCCCAGGCUCCUACGGAGGCAGCAGUGGGGAAUAUUGCACAAUGGGCGCAAGCGUGAUGAAGCCAUGCCGCGUGUAUGAAGAAGGCCCUAGGGUUGUAAAGUACUUUCAGUCGGGAGGCGUUACCGACAGAAGAAGCACCGGCUAACUCCGUGCCAGCAGCCGCGGUAAUUC